rnacentral:rRNA from 1 species
GGCUACACAUGCAAGUCGAGCGGCAGCGGGAAAGUAGCUUGCUACUUUUGCCGGCGAGCGGCGGACGGGUGAGUAAUGCCUGGGAAAUUGCCCAGUCGAGGGGGAUAACAGUUGGAAACGACUGCUAAUACCGCAUACGCCCUACGGGGGAAAGCAGGGGACCUUCGGGCCUUGCGCGAUUGGAUAUUCCCAGGUGGGAUUAGCAAGUUGGUGAGGUAAUGCCUCACCAAGGCGACUAUCCCUAGCUGGUCUGACAGGAUGAUCAGCCACACUGGAACUGAGACACGGUCCAGACUCCUACGGGAGGCAUCAGUGGGGAAUAUUGCACAAUGGGGGAAACCCCGAUGUGGCCAUUCCGCGUGUGUGAAGAAGGCCUUCGGGUUGUAAAGCACUUUCCGCAAGGAGGAAAGGUGGAUGCAUAAUAAUUGCUAACACUUUGGUACGAUGCCGAAGAAGCACCCGGUAACUCCGAGCCAGCGGCCGCGGGAAUGCGGAGGCUCUUCUCGUUGCC